CGGGGUGUAGCGCAGCUUGGUAGCGCGCAUGGUUUGGGACCAUGAGGCCCCGGGUUCAAAUCCCGGCGCCCCGACCA
rnacentral:tRNA from 1 species